GACGAACGCUGGCGGCGUGCCUAAUACAUGCAAGUCGAACGCAGUGGGGACGGGGGAGUAACACGUGGGUAACCUCCCAUAAGAGGGGAUAAAACUUGGAAACCGGUGCUAAACCGAUACUGAUGGAUGGACACGCGGUGCAUUAGCUAGUUGGUGAGGUAAAGGCCCACCAAGGCCACGAUGCAUAGGCGACCUGCGAGCGUGAUCGGCCAAACGGGGACGUGGACACGGCCCAGACUCCUACGGUAGGUAGCAGUAGGGAAUCUGCGGCAAUGGACGAAAGUCGGACCGAGCACCGCCGCGUGAGUGAAGAAGGUUUUCGGAUCGUAACACUCUGUUGUUAGAGAAGCGGUAUCUAACCAGAAAGCCACGGCUAACUACGUGCCAGCAGCCGCGGUAAUUC
rnacentral:rRNA from 1 species